CAUAAUUAACAGCGCCUGGUGAUGUUUCAUAGCCUGACCGGUUUCGGUCCAAAAAGGACCUUCAUCAGAGGCAGAAGGCAGAAUGGUGGAUUAAUGUUUGCACCCUAUUUAUAUAGAUAUGGUAACCGGCGGUUGAGUUAACCGGCGGUUGAGAUUUAACCGGCGGUUGGGUUAACCGGCGGUUGAGUUAACCGGCGGUUGAGAUUUAACCGGCGGUUCAGAGUUAACCGGCAGAUCAAAGUUAUCCAGUGGAUAAAUAUGUAUCUGGUUGAUGUCUAAACAGGUUAAAUUAUCCUUUCAGUGAAAAAUCCUCGUGGGGUUUCCAUGGUUACAGUUAUCUAUAUUUAGCUAAUGUACACGUUACAGUAAACUUUUUGACAUGUU
rnacentral:lncRNA from 1 species